UACGGAGGGUGCAAGCGUUAUCCGGAUUCACUGGGUUUAAAGGGUGCGUAGGUGGGCAGUUAAGUCAGUGGUGAAAUCUCCGGGCUCAACCCGGAAACUGCCAUUGAUACUAUCUGUCUUGAAUAUCGUGGAGGUAAGCGGAAUAUGUCAUGUAGCGGUGAAAUGCUUAGAUAUGACAUAGAACACCAAUUGCGAAGGCAGCUUACUACCCGAAUAUUGACACUGAGGCACGAAAGCGUGGGGAGCGAUCCGG
rnacentral:rRNA from 1 species